ACCCAGAUGGCUCAGCAGGUUGAGCGUCUGACUUUGGCUCAGGCCAUGAUCUCUCGGUUUGUGAGUUCAAGCCCCACAUUGGGCU
rnacentral:tRNA from 1 species